AGGCCUGGAGUACAGCUCAGUGGUAGAGCCCUUGCUGGCACAUUUGAAGGCUCUGGGAUCAAUUCCCAGUACCGCACUACAAGGCACAGGGAAUGGUACAGAAGAGAUAACAUUUUAAAGUUAUUCUUGGCACAUUCCUUCACACACAGCACAGAUUCUACAGGAGGAAUAUCUAGUCUCUCUACCCAAAGCUCCGUCUAAGAUGGUGAAGACUAAGGACACCGCAAGAGACUAGUUUGGCUUUUGCUUCAGAACCUGGACCAGAGUCGGUUUACGUGGUUCCAGGGGUGCUAGGAGACUUGACUUUGGAGCAACUCCUCCUGAGAGCGGGAGACCCGGUGCUGUGUGCCCUCAGAAUUGCUGAAGAAACCCGCAGUCACAGGGAAGAGGUAGAGUUGCUGAGCCAUUGCCACACAACACAGGCAGACAAAAUGGCGACACUGCCGGGAGAAGGUGCUCUGCGACGCGCUCUCUACAGCUGAACUACAAUUCCCAGAACUCUCUGCGCGGGGGGCGGGAGGCAUUCUUCGACGUUGCGGGUAGAGAACCCCGUGCCCCUCCCCCUUCCCGCAGAAGAUUUCCAGCAGACGUUGCCUCUUCGGUACGGUGCCUCGCCUUUCCCCGCUUUUCCCCCGCAGUGCCCGACGGGACUCGGGGUUUUUCGACUUCGCUACCGAACGUCCCUUGCGCCUAAAAAAAAAAAAAAAAAAAAA